CAGGAGGUUUUAAACAGGACCUUCACAAUCUUCAGCACUGACUAGAAAUGGCAUCAAAAUCAGGGUCAGAGACAUGUAUGAGCCAGGUGAUGUGAGAACAAAAGCACACAGAGAGAGGCAGCUGAACCAGCAUCCAGACGUUCUCUUCAGAAUAUAUUGUGAAGACCGUCUGCAUGUUCUGCUCUUCAGACCCACGGAUGACAGCUGGUGGAUCAAUAAACUUAAGGAUAGAUAUGGAAGAAUCUCUUCUCAGUGGACUUUCAAACAUGAUGAUAACCAGCCGAUUCGGCACGCGAUAAAUCUCUCCGGGAAUCGGGAUGAGCUGCAAAGAUUCUGUGCAUGAGUUUCCUCGCAAUCUACAGUCGUGUCGUGCCCAUGUUCAGGAAGAUCUGGAAACAGCCAUUCAAGACCUCAGAGUAGAAAACAGCGGACUUGGACAACAAUUAAGAGGAGCGCCCUAAAACAUGAGAGACCACGAAGACAAGAAGAUCUGCAUCUUUCGAUCAGAUUCAAAGCAGACCAAACAUGAAUUACUAUUAUUUCUUAUAUUUCUCUUCUCUGUCAUAUUAAAGUCAGACUGUAAUCAAAUCUGUCACACUUCUUACUCCAGUGAAUAUUUCUCAUUGUGUGUUUAUUGUUGAAAGUCUAUGUAAACGCAAACUUUAUUAAAAACAUGGUGACUAAA